AAACACAUAGUCAGCAUCUACCUUUGCUUGAGAGGAAGGGCUGGGAUGGUGAGAUGGCCUAACAUUGGAGCUGAUGUAUAAAAUGGUUCUUCAAUAACUAGUAGCAUGUCACCAGGUGGAGGAACCAGAUAAAAGGGUUUGAGACAACAUCAUGUAUAAGAUGGAGGUUUGUAAAAAUGCCUGGAAUCCUUGGAGAAAUCAUAGGUCAUCAGGAGGAGGUAUAGAGAAACCAACCUACAGCCUGUGAAGAGGUCCUGCAGUUCCAGUAGCCGGCUGAAGGUCACUUGGAUAGGAAGUUCCCAAUCUCAGUUUCUUUUUUAGGUGAUUUCCUUCCUGCCAGGCUCCGUUGUAGGGGUUACAGAACAGUCGUUCCCGCCUCACAACCUGGUAAGGAUCCAUCUCUUCACGUAACGCUCAUGCUCUGCUGCUUAGUCUACUUUAAUGGGCAACAUCUCAAUUUGUGUGUGUAUGUGUGUGUUUUUAUUUUUUCUUUUUUGGAAAGUGGGAGGGGAAUCUACUUUGGGCCCUGUCCACCCUGGAAACAGACUUUUGCUGGUCAAUAAUGUAUUUAAAGAUGCUGCUUCUGGUUGAAAUAGCUGUUAAUGUGUCCCCUUGUUCAGACUUGCGUGUACCUAGCUCUUCUGUCCCCAGUGUGGACAUGGCCUUGGAUGACAUCGGUUCCAACUGUACACUGAAACCUGCUUAUAGAAAUACAGUUUGGAGACAGUGAAACAGGUGAAGUUGAAUGGAAGUUCCGAGUUGUACAAGAUGCAAAUUGGAAUUCCAGUUUUAGAGCAACUUUUCAAAGGUUGACAAAAACAAGUGUUGGGGUUGUGCACAUAUGGGGUGCACAUUUGCUGGAGAUGACAGCAAUCUCUUAAAUAUUUAAGAAUGCCUUUUAGUUUUAAGUAGAAGGUACACAAAUACAGUCUAUUUGGAGCAACAGAUUUUAUUAUCUCACUGUUAGAGAAAUUGGAAAUUAACAUACUAUCAGGCUCCUGUGUUUUAGCUAAUUGGAGGAAGACUAAGCAUGGAUAAUGAAUGUUCUUUAAGGACCAGCACAGUGAUUAUCCUAUCACUGGUAUGAAUAAAUUGUCAAAAACCUUUAUUUUUGUUGUAUUAAAAUUUUAGGUUAAAUUUAUGUAUGUAUGAUUAGAUAUUGAAGGUUGUGAAAUGUGAAUGAAAACAUGUAAAGUGAGGUUUCACAAAGAAUCUUAUUUUCUGUUUUUGAAAAGUAUUUGUCUUGUUAAAAAACAGUUUUUAAAAUUGAGUGUUUCUGGUCACUUAGAUGACACAAUUGCAACUAUUUUUUCCAAAGAUGGGACAUAUUAUUCCCUAGAAGUACUCUAAUUAUUUCCUAGUUGCAUAAGUUGAAUUAUGGUGUCAUUCAGUGCAAAAGGCAUUAAGAAAUUCUUUGUGAAACAUCACUGUUUGAUAAAGUAUAUACGUAUUUAGAAUCCUUGUUUUUCUUUGUGCUAAAGUGGAUACAGCUGUUGGGGCAGAAGAGACGGGACCAGCUGCUGGCCACAUUUCCUGCUUUAUUUUAAAAGGUAGUAUAAGAAAUGAGGAAAAAGAGGUAAUAUCAGGGCUUCUGCUGUCUUAUUUUUAAGAUGUUCAUAAUUAAAAAGUAUUUUCCAGCAGUCCAAAGAUGUAAGUUAUCUUACACAUAAAUGUUUUAUUUUAUUGUUAUUUGGUUAUGAAAAUGGAAUCCUUGUUCUUGCACAACUGUAAAUGUUUUUGUUGCUAGAUAACAUGAUUUGAGACCUAAUUGGUCUCUGGUUUCCAGUGCAUCACAGCAUAUUUUGUAAAAUCUACUGCACUUGAGCAUGAAUGGUAAUAGCCAAACUUAAAACCUGGAGUGAUGAACCUGCUAAUAACUAAGGGCAGGAGCAAGCCCCUCACAAUGCAGCUGCAUGGAUUUUUAGUGCCUACUGAAUUACACACACACACACACACACACAUAAAUAAAUAUAUAUAUAUAUAUAUAUAUAAAUGAAAACCAAAAGUAAUUGGAAAAAUUAUUUGAAAUGACUAAUUUGUGCUAUCUUUAUGAAAUAUGUUAAAUGUAGCUUUUGAAACAGAAGCCUUGAAUUGAGAUUUAACUAAUACUUGAACAUUUUGUACAUAUUUCUUUGUAUAUAAUUUUGUGCAGUACCAAUGACAAAAUACAGUGUCAUAAUAAAAUCAGGUUUGUUGAUCUUUCAGUUAUGGGCUCAAAGAAUUUAUUCAUUUCUAACAUUAUAUUGGAAAAUAAUUGAUAAAAAUAGGAAAAAUGAUUGUUAUUAAUUCUGACUGUGGGUCUUAAAAGGUUCUGGAAGCAGUAAGUUUGUUUUUCUAAAAAUUUUAUCAUUGUCUUGGAAUAAUUUUUUUACAAUCAGUGCUUUUUCUGCAUUAUUUGAAGUUUGGGGCUGGGGAGAAACAGUCAACUUUCUGAAUUGGGAUGCUUUAAAAUUCGAAGUGUAGAUUUUUAGAAUGUCAUUUUAUAAAUGGCAGAUUUUGGAAUUACGUGACUAAGAACUUUUGAAAAUGGAAAGAUUAGCAUGGCCUAUUUUUAAAGCUGCUUUGUUAGGUUGUUUUUUUUUUAAUGUCUUUUCUUAGUUUCCAUUUCAUUGUUUCUUUUUUCUAGUUUUGGUGACAGUAAUUUUAUCAUUUUUUACAUCAAGUUCAUGGUCUUGUUUUUACAUGGUAAUUGCAUGUAUGUAGGACCUAUCUAACAGGGGCUUUAAAUAAAUUUGGUCAUAUUUAUGUGUAAGCACAUUUUUACUGUAAAUGUGUGGGUUUCUGAAUUUACAACAGAUCUGUUUCAGUAUGUAGUAAACAGUAUCUUAAAAAGUGUCCUAUUCACUACUUGUUGAUUAAAAAAGUUAUGAUUAAUAUGAAACUGUUGUCUUACUAUUUUUAGAAAAUUGUGUUCUGAAUGAUUAGUAUUUGGAUAAAGGGCAUUUCUGGACUAUAAAGUGGAUUGUUUUUGACAUUUUCAGGUUUGGCGCUGAUUACUGUAAUCAUUGAAACAACUUAGUAUUUGGAGGACAGUUAUUUUCCCCUGAUUGCGCCUCUAUGGCAAAAUGAUACAGAACUAAAGAUGUAGCUGUUUGUCAUCUAAUAACAGGAAUUCAUACAUUAAUGGAACUAACACAUCAUAUUGACCUAUUUCUAUCAUAUUGACUUACUGUUUCUGCACUUCCUUGACGAGACUUAACUAAAAGUCCACAUUUGUUAAAAUGUAGUCACACUUCUGAUAUAAUCCAACAAAAAGUAUUCGAAAUAUUUUAAGUAUUUGUGCAUUUUAUAAUCACUAAAUUAAUCUCUCUCUCUUCUCUUUAAACA